UUAACCUACGGGGGGCAGCAGUGAGGAAUAUUGGUCAAUGGCCGAGAGGCUGAACCAGCCAAGUCGCGUGAGGGAUGACGGCCCUACGGGUUGUAAACCUCUUUUGCCGGGGAGCAAGACCCGCCUCGUGCAGGCGGAGCGAGAGUACCCGAAGAAAAAGCAUCGGCUAACUCCGUGCCAGCAGCCGCGGUACUGCGGAGGAUGCGAGCGUUAUCCGGAUUUAUUGGGUUUAA
rnacentral:rRNA from 1 species